AUUGAACGCUGGCGGCAUGCUUUACACAUGCAAGUCGAACGGUAACAGGCCGCAAGGUGCUGACGAGUGGCGAACGGGUGAGUAAUGCAUCGGAACGUGCCCAGUCGUGGGGGAUAACGCAGCGAAAGCUGCGCUAAUACCGCAUACGAUCUAUGGAUGAAAGCGGGGGACCGUAAGGCCUCGCGCGAUUGGAGCGGCCGAUGUCAGAUUAGGUAGUUGGUGGGGUAAAGGCUCACCAAGCCAACGAUCUGUAGCUGGUCUGAGAGGACGACCAGCCAAACUGGGACUGAGACACGGCCCAGACUCCUACGGGAGGCAGCAGUGGGGAAUUUUGGACAAUGGGCGCAAGCCUGAUCCAGCAAUGCCGCGUGCAGGAAGAAGGCCUUCGGGUUGUAAACUGCUUUUGUACGGAACGAAACGGUCUGGGUUAAUACCCUGGGCUAAUGACGGUACCGUAAGAAUAAGCACCGGCUAACUACGUGCCAGCAGCCGCAGUAAUAC
rnacentral:rRNA from 1 species